GGUCUGUAACGGGUAACGGAGAAUCAGGGUUCGAUUCCGGAGAGGGAGCCUGAGAAACGGCUACCACAUCCAAGGUAAGGCAGCAGGCGCGCAAAUAACCCACUCCCCGGCACGGGGAAGUAGUGACGAAAAAUAACAAUGCUGAGUUUUAAAUUCGGUAAUUGGAAUGAGAUCACUUUAAAUCCUUUAACGAGGAUCUAGUGGAGGGCAAGUCUGGUGCCAGCAGCCGCGGUAAUUCCAGCUCCACGAGCUAGUACGUAAGUUGUUGCAGUUAAAAAGCUCGUAGUUGGAUCUCGGACCUGUGACCGGUGGUCUGCCCGAUACGGGUAUGUACUGCCGUGUCCGGUCUACGUCUGGUAAUAUUGCAUAGUGCUCUUAACCGGGUGCUAUGUAAUGCCAGAAAGUUUACUCUGAAAAAAUUAGAGUGCUUAAAGCAGGCCUUGUGCUUGAAUACUGUUGCAUGGAAUAAUGGAAUAGGACCUCGGAUCUAUUUUGUUGGUUUUCGGAGUCGAGGUAAUGAUUAAGAGGGACAGACGGGGCAUC
rnacentral:rRNA from 1 species